rnacentral:rRNA from 1 species
GUACGGGAACCCGGGUGAAAGCCUGGGGUGCCCCGCGAGGGGAGCCCUAGCACAGGUGCUGCAUGGCCGUCGUCAGCUCGUGCCGUGAGGUGUUGGGUUAAGUCCCGCAACGAGCGCAACCCCCGCCGUUAGUUGCCAGCGGUUCGGCCGGGCACUCUAACGGGACUGCCCGCGAAAGCGGGAGGAAGGAGGGGACGACGUCUGGUCAGCAUGGCCCUUACGGCCUGGGCGACACACGUGCUACAAUGCCCACUACAAAGCGAUGCCACCCGGCAACGGGGAGCUAAUCGCAAAAGGUGGGCCCAGUUCGGAUUGGGUCUGCAACCCGACCCCAUGAAGCCGGAAUCGCUAGUAAUCGCGGAUCAGCCAUGCCGCGGUGAAUACGUUCCCGGUCCUU